rnacentral:lncRNA from 1 species
GCAGGCCGGCCAGGGUUUGGGGCUGGGCCAAAUUUGGUGAAAGAAAUAAAAUAAAAGAGAACUCUUUUAUAUUUUUCAGAACUAUAAAUAUGUGUAUAAAUUCCUUUCAAGUUGAUUUUUAAACCAAGAAAUCUAGUCUUACAAUCAAUCAAUAAAUAUUAUGCACCAGCAUGAAUGCAGCAUUUCAUGUUUCUAGACCUUAUGGUUUAUUUUAAAUAAUUCCAAAAAUUGUUAUUUUGCCUAAACAAUUCUCAGAUAAUUCAUAUAAUUGUGCCAAAUUGAAUGCUAAUUUGAAAAUAAAUUUUUAGGGUGUUACAUUAAAUCAAGAUUUCACUUGCACGUUCACUCAUAUAUGCUACUUCUACUCCGAAAGUACCAUCCACAUAUAUCCACUCAUUUCCAUCUCCAGAAUCACCUAAAAAUAUUCUACUCCUAAUCCGGGAGAGAAUAGCCAAAAAUAUUUUUGUUUUUCCCUUGUGAAAUAAAUGCUCAAGUUAUCUUGUUACUACCACUUGCUACAUUAUUUCAAGAGAUGAGUGCUCUGAAAAAAAACGAGGAAAUAAAAAGGAGCAAGUGCUCGGAACCUCGAAAGAAAAGAAAAAGUGAGACGAGAGGCAAAAAUGGACAAGUGUCCGACAGUAGAAUUAGGGGUACAAGAUACCCACCUGAGAGAAAAGAAAAAAAAUAUAGAGCAUCUCAUUCUCCUCACAAAGUUUCAAAAAGCAAGAAAGGUAUGUAUCCCCUCAAAAGAGCAAAAGUAGAAUUAGACUUCCAUCACCAUUGUUUUCACCAUGGUUAUCACCAUCAUCGCCAUACACCAUUCAUUCGCCACACAUGCACAUCUUGAUUUGGCUUAUUGAUUUGUUUCUUUGGAUCUAUGGUUUGACUAUGCAAUACAUGUCUUGUAAGUAUGUAUAUUUUAUCUCCCACCUAUGAGCUCCAGAUAUUAAAGCCUUAUUAGAGUAGGGUGAGAGAGAAGACAAUGUCACUAUGCUUCAUACCACAAAUACUACAUAUCUUGAGAGAAGGCAUAUACCAUCACUACCUUGGUAAGGAUCCAGAAAUACCACAAAAGAGAGAUUUGAGAGAAUCAUACAAGGAAUCUCUGAGUUUUAUUUGAAAAUCUGCAAAAACUUCAGAGCUAUAGCUGAUCAAGAAUAAGAGACAUGGCACUUGACUAGACUGUUCUAUCUUUUAACUACUCAAGAGAGAAGUGACGGUUACAAGUCCCAUGAAGGUAAAGUAAGUAAGUUUUAAGUCUUGACAGUUUACUCUAACUUAGAGAUGAGAUCUUAUUUAAAAAGCAUGAGUACCGUCAAUUUUUAAAGAUAUUGCAACAACUU